rnacentral:rRNA from 1 species
UUAGCGGAUGACUUGUGGCUGGGGGUGAAAGGCCAAUCAAACCGGGAGAUAGCUGGUUCUCCCCGAAAGCUAUUUAGGUAGCGCCUCGUGAAUUCAUCUCCGGGGGUAGAGCACUGUUUCGGCAAGGGGGUCAUCCCGACUUACCAACCCGAUGCAAACUGCGAAUACCGGAGAAUGUUAUCACGGGAGACACACGGCGGGUGCUAACGUCCGUCGUGAAGAGGGAAACAACCCAGACCGCCAGCUAAGGUCCCAAAGUCAUGGUUAAGUGGGAAACGAUGUGGGAAGGCCCAGACAGCCAGGAUGUUGGCUUAGAAGCAGCCAUCAUUUAAAGAAAGCGUAAUAGCUCACUGGUCGAGUCGGCCUGCGCGGAAGAUGUAACGGGGCUAAACCAUGCACCGAAGCUGCGGCAGCGACGCUGAUGCGUUGUUGGGUAGGGGAGCGUUCUGUAAGCCUGCGAAGGUGUGCUGUGAGGCAUGCUGGAGGUAUCAGAAGUGCGAAUGCUGACAUAAGUAACGAUAAAGCGGGUGAAAAGCCCGCUCGCCGGAAGACCAAGGGUUCCUGUCCAACGUUAAUCGGGGCAGGGUGAGUCGACCCCUAAGGCGAGGCCGAAAGGCGUAGUCGAUGGGAAACAGGUUAAUAUUCCUGUACUUGGUGUUACUGCGAAGGGGGGACGGAGAAGGCUAUGUUGGCCGGGCGACGGUUGUCCCGGUUUAAGCGUGUAGGCUGGUUUUCCAGGCAAAUCCGGAAAAUCAAGGCUGAGGCGUGAUGACGAGGCACUACGGUGCUGAAGCAACAAAUGCCCUGCUUCCAGGAAAAGCCUCUAAGCAUCAGGUAACAUCAAAUCGUACCCCAAACCGACACAGGUGGUCAGGUAGAGAAUACCAAGGCGCUUGAGAGAACUCGGGUGAAGGAACUAGGCAAAAUGGUGCCGUAACUUCGGGAGAA